AUUUGAAAUCUGGCUUCGGCCCGAGUUGUAAUUUGUAGAGGAUGCUUAGGGUGUGGUUCCGGUCUAAGUUCCUUGGAACAGGACGUCAUAGAGGGUGAGAAUCCCGUAUGUGACCGGUUACCUUCGCCCGUGUUAAGCUCCUUCGACGAGUCGAGUUGUUUGGGAAUGCAGCUCUAAAUGGGUGGUAAAUUUCAUCUAAAGCUAAAUACUGGCCAGAGACCGAUAGCGCACAAGUAGAGUGAUCGAAAGAUGAAAAGCACUUUGGAAAGAGAGUUAAAUAGUACGUGAAAUUGUUGAAAGGGAAGCGCUUGCAACCAGACUUGCAUGCAGUUGAUCAUCCGGUGUUCUCACCGGUGCACUCGAUUGCGUUCAGGCCAGCAUCAGUUCUGGUGGUUGGAUAAAGGCCCAGGGAAUGUGGCUCUCUCUCGGGGAGUGUUAUAGCCCUGGGUGCAAUGCAGCCUACCGGGACUGAG
rnacentral:rRNA from 1 species